CACGUAGGGCGCAAGCGUUGUCCGGAAUUAUUGGGCGUAAAGAGCUCGUAGGCGGUCUGUUGCGUCCGCUGUGAAAACUCGGGGCUUAACCCCGAGCCUGCAGUGGAUACGGGCAGACCAGAGGUAGGUAGGGGAGAAUGGAAUUCCCGGUGUAGCGGUGAAAUGCGCAGAUAUCGGGAGGAACACCGGUGGCGAAGGCGGUUCUCUGGGCCUUACCUGACGCUGAGGAGCGAAAGCGUGGGGAGCGAACAGG
rnacentral:rRNA from 1 species